AGAGUUUGAUCAUGGCUCAGAUUGAACGCUGGCGGCAGGCCUAACACAUGCAAGUCGAGCGGUAGCACAGAGAGCUUGCUCUCGGGUGACGAGCGGCGGACGGGUGAGUAAUGUCUGGGAAACUGCCUGAUGGAGGGGGAUAACUACUGGAAACGGUAGCUAAUACCGCAUAAUGUCGCAAGACCAAAGUGGGGGACCUUCGGGCCUCAUGCCAUCAGAUGUGCCCAGAUGGGAUUAGCUAGUAGGUGGGGUAACGGCUCACCUAGGCGACGAUCCCUAGCUGGUCUGAGAGGAUGACCAGCCACACUGGAACUGAGACACGGUCCAGACUCCUACGGGAGGCAGCAGUGGGGAAUAUUGCACAAUGGGCGCAAGCCUGAUGCAGCCAUGCCGCGUGUGUGAAGAAGGCCUUCGGGUUGUAAAGCACUUUCAGCGGGGAGGAAGGCGAUGAGGUUAAUAACCUCAUCGAUUGACGUUACCCGCAGAAGAAGCACCGGCUAACUCCGUGCCAGCAGCCGCGGUAAUACGGAGGGUGCAAGCGUUAAUCGGAAUUACUGGGCGUAAAGCGCACGCAGGCGGUCUGUCAAGUCGGAUGUGAAAUCCCCGGGCUCAACCUGGGAACUGCAUUCGAAACUGGCAGGCUAGAGUCUUGUAGAGGGGGGUAGAAUUCCAGGUGUAGCGGUGAAAUGCGUAGAGAUCUGGAGGAAUACCGGUGGCGAAGGCGGCCCCCUGGACAAAGACUGACGCUCAGGUGCGAAAGCGUGGGGAGCAAACAGGAUUAGAUACCCUGGUAGUCCACGCCGUAAACGAUGUCGAUUUGGAGGUUGUGCCCUUGAGGCGUGGCUUCCGGAGCUAACGCGUUAAAUCGACCGCCUGGGGAGUACGGCCGCAAGGUUAAAACUCAAUGAAUUGACGGGGGCCCGCACAAGCGGUGGAGCAUGUGGUUUAAUUCGAUGCAACGCGAAGAACCUUACCUGGUCUUGACAUCCACAGAACUUUCCAGAGAUGGAUUGGUGCCUUCGGGAACUGUGAGACAGGUGCUGCAUGGCUGUCGUCAGCUCGUGUUGUGAAAUGUUGGGUUAAGUCCCGCAACGAGCGCAACCCUUAUCCUUUGUUGCCAGCGGUUAGGCCGGGAACUCAAAGGAGACUGCCAGUGAUAAACUGGAGGAAGGUGGGGAUGACGUCAAGUCAUCAUGGCCCUUACGACCAGGGCUACACACGUGCUACAAUGGCAUAUACAAAGAGAAGCGACCUCGCGAGAGCAAGCGGACCUCAUAAAGUAUGUCGUAGUCCGGAUUGGAGUCUGCAACUCGACUCCAUGAAGUCGGAAUCGCUAGUAAUCGUAGAUCAGAAUGCUACGGUGAAUACGUUCCCGGGCCUUGUACACACCGCCCGUCACACCAUGGGAGUGGGUUGCAAAAGAAGUAGGUAGCUUAACCUUCGGGAGGGCGCUUACCACUUUGUGAUUCAUGACUGGGGUGAAGUCGUAACAAGGUAACCGUAGGGGAACCUGCGGUUGGAUCACCU
rnacentral:rRNA from 1 species